rnacentral:rRNA from 1 species
CGUAGAGAAAUCGAGUCUUAAUAGGGCGUUUAGUUGCUGGGUAUAGACCCGAAACCAGGCGAUCUAUCCAUGAGCAGGUUGAAGGUUGGGUAACACUAACUGGAGGACCGAACCCACUGUCGUUGAAAAGCCAGGGGAUGACUUGUGGAUAGGGGUGAAAGGCUAAUCAAGCCUGGUGAUAGCUGGUUCUCCCCGAAAGCUAUUUAGGUAGCGCCUCGGACGAAUACCAUAGGGGGUAGAGCACUGUUUCGGCUAGGGGGUCAUCCCGACUUACCAAACCGAUGCAAACUCCGAAUACCUAUGAGUACUAUCCGGGAGACAGACUGCGGGUGCUAACGUCCGUAGUCAAGAGGAAAACAAUCCAGACCGCCAGCUAAGGCCCCAAAAUCAUAGUUAAGUGGGAAACGAUGUGGGAAGGCAUAGACAGCUAGGA